CGUGUAGGCGGUCAGGUAAGUGGAAUGUGAAAUGCCCCGGCUCACCCGGGGACCGGCAUCCCAAACUGCCUGGCUUGAGUAUGGGAGAGGAUGGAGGAAUUCCUGGUGUAGCGGUGAAAUGCGUAGAUAUCAGGAGGAACACCGGUGGCGAAGGCGUCCAUCUGGCCCAAUACUGACGCUGAGGGCGCGAAAGCUAAGGGAGCAAACGG
rnacentral:rRNA from 1 species